UACGAAGGGGGCUAGCGUUGCUCGGAAUCACUGGGCGUAAAGGGUGCGUAGGCGGAUCGAUCAGUCAGGGGUGAAAUCCCAGGGCUCAACCCUGGAACUGCCUUUGAUACUGUCGAUCUGGAGUAUGGAAGAGGUGAGUGGAAUUCCGAGUGUAGAGGUGAAAUUCGUAGAUAUUCGGAGGAACACCAGUGGCGAAGGCGGCUACCUGGACAAUUGCUGACGCUCAGGCACGAAAGCGUGGGUAGCGAACAGG
rnacentral:rRNA from 1 species